UACGUAGGGGGCAAGCGUUGUCCGGAAUCAUUGGGCGUAAAGCGCGUGUAGGCGGCUCGAUAAGUCUGCUGUGAAAGUCCAAGGCUCAACCUUGGGAUGCCGGUGGAUACUGUCGAGCUCGAGUCCGGAAGAGGCGAGUGGAAUUCCUGGUGUAGCGGUGAAAUGCGCAGAUAUCAGGAGGAACACCAAUGGCGAAGGCAGCUCGCUGGGACGGUACUGACGCUGAGACGCGAAAGCGUGGGGAGCAAACAGG
rnacentral:rRNA from 1 species